GUCACAGCUGACGAUUUCCAAAUAGGACGAAAUGCGCAUCCUGGAC
rnacentral:hammerhead_ribozyme from 1 species